ensembl:lncRNA
AGCGUGAAAUGGUUGGGAGACCGGGACCUCCAGGACCCCCUGGCCCACCAGGACUACCAGGCCAUUUCUACCCUGACCUCUCAAACCUGCUGCAGAAUUCUGAUUAUAAGGGACUGGUCGGACCUCAGGGUCCAGCCGGAUUCCCAGGGCCUCCUGGUCCAGCAGGCCCUCCAGGUCCUCCUGGACUGGGAACUUCUGACAGUACAUUUGGGCUGGAGGACAUACGAGAUUACUUGAGCAAUUUUAGAGGUCCUCCCGGUCCUCCAGGUCCACCUGGCCCUCAGGGACCCCCUGGAGUGAACAGAGGUUUGGUGUCCUAUGCGUCAAAUAAACACAGAGAUAGAGUGCAUACCGAGCCACAGGAAUAUUUCAACGGUGAUGGGUUGCUUGGUAGGUUUCCUGGGCCUCCGGGCCCACCUGGUCCUCCGGGACCUCAGGGACAAAAGGGAGAUCGAGGUGAACUUGGUUACAGCAAAGCUUUCAUCCCUGAGAGGGACGCUACAGACUAUUCUCACGUAGCUGUGAAAGUGGCCGACUACAUCAGAUGUAAGUGA